rnacentral:rRNA from 1 species
UGAGGAAUAUUGGUCAAUGGGCGAGAGCCUGAACCAGCCAAGUAGCGUGCAGGAUGACGGCCCUAUGGGUUGUAAACUGCUUUUAUGUGGGGAUAAAGUGAGCUACGUGUAGUUUAUUGCAGGUACCACAUGAAUAAGGACCGGCUAAUUCCGUGCCAGCAGCCGCGGUAAUACGGAAGGUCCAGGCGUUAUCCGGAUUUAUUGGGUUUAAAGGGAGCGUAGGCCGUGGAUUAAGCGUGUUGUGAAAUGUAGACGCUCAACGUCUGAAUUGCAGCGCGAACUGGUUCACUUGAGUAUGCACAACGUAGGCGGAAUUCGUCGUGUAGCGGUGAAAUGCUUAGAUAUGACGAAGAACUCCGAUUGCGAAGGCAGCUUACGGGAGCACAACUGACGCUGAAGCUCGAAGGUGCGGGUAUCAAACAGGAUUAGAUAUCCUGGUAGUCCGCACAGUAAACGAUGGAUGCCCGUUGUUAGUUCACUUAUGAAUUAGCGACCAAGCGAAAGCAUUAAGCAUCCCACCUGGGGAGUACGCCGGCAACGGUG